rnacentral:rRNA from 1 species
GACGAACGCUGGCGGCGUGCUUAACACAUGCAAGUCGAACGGAAAGGCCCUGCUUUUGUGGGGUGCUCGAGUGGCGAACGGGUGAGUAACACGUGAGUAACCUGCCCUUGACUUUGGGAUAACUUCAGGAAACUGGGGCUAAUACCGGAUAGGAGCUCCUGCUGCAUGGUGGGGGUUGGAAAGUUUCGGCGGUUGGGGAUGGACUCGCGGCUUAUCAGCUUGUUGGUGGGGUAGUGGCUUACCAAGGCUUUGACGGGUAGCCGGCCUGAGAGGGUGACCGGCCACAGUGGGACUGAGAUACGGCCCAGACUCCUACGGGAGGCAGCAGUGGGGAAUAUUGCACAAUGGGCGGAAGCCUGAUGCAGCAACGCCGCGUGCGGGAUGAAGGCCUUCGGGUUGUAAACCGCUUUCGCCUGUGACGAAGCGUGAGUGACGGUAAUGGGUAAAGAAGCACCGGAUAACUACGUG